GAAAUAAAAAAUAUUUAAGCUGCUAACUUAAAUUUUAGUGAUUUUUCAUUAUUAUUUCU
rnacentral:tRNA from 1 species